CCUACGGGGGGCAGCAGUGGGGAAUAUUGCGCAAUGGGCGAAAGCCUGACGCAGCGACGCCGCGUGAGGGAUGAAGGUCUUCGGAUUGUAAACCUCUGUCAGCAGGGAAGAACGGUCACGGUGCUAAUCAGCUGUGACUUGACGGUACCUGCAAAGGAAGCACCGGCUAACUCCGUGCCAGCAGCCGCGGUAAUACGGAGGGUGCGAGCGUUCAUCGGAAUUAUUGGGCGUAAAGGGCUCGUAGGAGGUAUGUCAAGUCAAGGGUGAAAUCCCCGGGCUCAACGUAGGAUCUGCCUUUGAAACUGGCAAACUAGAGUUUGAGAGAGGAUAGUGGAAUUCCAGGUGUAGAGGUGAAAUCCGUAGAUAUCGGGAAGAACAUCAGUGGCGAAGGCGACUAUCUGGCACAUAACUGACGCUGAGGAGCGAAAGCGUGGGUAGCAAACAGGAUUAGAUACCCCAGUAGUC
rnacentral:rRNA from 1 species